rnacentral:rRNA from 1 species
UACGUAGGGGGCAAGCGUUGUCCGGAAUCAUUGGGCGUAAAGCGCGUGUAGGCGGCUUGGUAAGUCCGCUCUGAAAGCCCGGGGCUCAACCCCGGGAGGCGGGUGGAUACUGUCAAGCUCGAGUCCGGAAGAGGCGAGUGGAAUUCCUGGUGUAGCGGUGAAAUGCGCAGAUAUCAGGAGGAACACCAAUGGCGAAGGCAGCUCGCUGGGACGUGACUGACGCUGAGACGCGAAAGCGUGGGUAGCGAACGGG